rnacentral:rRNA from 1 species
GAUCAUGGCUCAGAUUGAACGCUGGCGGCAUGCCUUACACAUGCAAGUCGAACGGCAGCAUGGAAGAGCUUGCUCUUCUGAUGGCGAGUGGCGAACGGGUGAGUAAAGCAUCGGAACGUACCGUGUAAUGGGGGAUAACGUAGCGAAAGUUACGCUAAUACCGCAUACGACCUGAGGCGCUGUAAGAUGGGCGUGCGUGCUAUUAGCUAGUUGGUGAGGUAACGGCUCACCAAGGCUACGAUAGCUAGGGGGCGUGAGAGCGUGGCCCCCCACACGGGUACUGAGACACGGACCCGACUCCUACGGGAGGCAGCAGUAAGGAAUAUUGGACAAUGGUCGAAAGACUGAUCCAGCCAUCCCGCGUGCAGGAUGACUGCCCUAUGGGUUGUAAACUGCUUUUAUAUGGGAAGAAUAGCAUAGAUUCAUCUGUGUAUGACGGUACCAUAUGAAUAAGCACCGGCUAACUCCGUG